rnacentral:rRNA from 1 species
GACGAACGCUGGCGGCGUGCUUAACACAUGCAAGUCGAGCGGUAAGGCCCUUUCGGGGGUACACGAGCGGCGAACGGGUGAGUAACACGUGGGUGACCUGCCCUCAGCUCUGGGAUAAGCCUGGGAAACCGGGUCUAAUACUGGAUAUGACUCCAUGACGCAUGUUGUGGGGUGGAAAGCCUUGUGCGGCUGAGGAUGGGCCCGCGGCCUAUCAGCUUGUUGGUGGGGUGAUGGCCUACCAAGGCGACGACGGGUAGCCGGCCUGAGAGGGCGACCGGCCACACUGGGACUGAGACACUGCCCAGACUCCUACGGGAGGCUGCAGUCGAGAAUCUUCCGCAAUGGGCGAAAGCCUGACGCAGCGACGCCGCGUGAGGGAUGACGGCCUGGUGUAAC